rnacentral:tRNA from 1 species
GGCCCCAUCGUCUAGCGGUUCAGGACGGCGGCCUCUCACGCCGCAGACCGGAGUUCGAGUCUCCGUGGGGUCA